AACGAACGCUGGCGGCGUGCCUAACACAUGCAAGUCGUGCGGGAACGUGGGGGCAACCCUGCAAGUACAGCGGCGCACGGGUGAGUAACACGUAGGUAACCUACCUCCGAGACUGGGAUAACCUGUCGAAAGACGGGCUAAUACCAGAUAAGACCACCGAGGCGGCGGCUCCGCCGGUAAAAGCGGGCCCCUGCCGGCAAGCUAUCACUUGGGGAUGGUCCUGCAGGCCAUUAGCUAGUUGGUGGGGUAAGAGCCCACCAAGGCGCAGAUGGCUAGCUGGUCUGAGAGGAUGGCCAGCCACACUGGGACUGAGACACGGCCCAGACUCCUACGGGAGGCAGCAGUGGGGAAUAUUGCGCAAUGGGCGAAAGCCUGACGCAGCGACGCCGCGUGGGUGAUGAAGGCCUUCGGGUCGUAAAGCCCUGUCGGGGGGGACGAAGCCUCUCGGUGCUAAUAUCGCCGAGAUCUGACGGUACCUCCUAAGGAAGCACCGGCUAACUCCGUGCCAGCCGCCGCCGUAA
rnacentral:rRNA from 1 species